rnacentral:misc_RNA from 1 species
UCCAACAUUUCGUUGGCAGUCUUCUUUAUUGAUUCUAUUUCUUAAUAAAGAAUAAGGGUUUCGCUCGUUACCGUAAUUAAACUGACAUUUCACAACACGAGCUGACGACAGCCAUGCAACACCUGUGUAAAAAUUUUUUACAUUUUAAAAAAAAUGCUCUUGUAAUCCUUUUUAUUACAAAUUUUUUACAUCUCAAGAACUGGUAAGGUUUUGCGCGUUGCUUCGAAUUAAACCACAUGUUCCACCGCUUGUGCAGACUUCCGUCAAUUCCUUUGAGUUUUAAUCUUGCGACCGUAUUACCCAGGCGGAGUGUUUAACGCGUUUGCUGACAAACUGAAAUAAAUAACUAUUCCAACAUGCAACACUCAUCGUUGACAGCGUGGACUAC